rnacentral:lncRNA from 1 species
CUGAAACGUCGCCGCCAUCGCUGACCCGACCCCGUCGCCGCCUCUACCUCGCUGCCGGCCGUCUGCCGUCAUCUUCCAUCGUCGCGCCACCCCUCAGUGAGCUUUCCUCUCUCCGAUGUCGUUCACCGGUGUAGUUUAUCCAUAGGGUCUUGAUCUAAUCUAAUCUAUUUCGCAGGUUGCUUUAAUCUUUUAUCUCGGUUAUAAAUUAUUUGUAAAUUGUUUAAUUAAUUUAGAAUAGUCUUUUCUUUAAUAGGUUUAAUUGGAAUUAAAUUUUGUAAAAUUCGUAACUAAUUCAUAUGAAGUCAGAAUGAGGCUGUUCAAGUCUCAUAAUUCAUCUAAAAUCAUGAUUUACAUGUUUGUUUACUUUAUAUGUAUUGUUUAUUUGGUUUUUAUUAGUCUUUUUCCUCGUUUUGCGUGUUAGCUUGUCGUUUCCGUCGUUUCGAAGGUUCGUGAGUGCGUCGGGAGUGUUCAGAAGAUUAAUUGAAGACCGAUUAUUGCAAGGCAAGUCACACAGAUCCUAAACACAAUCCUUUGAGCAUGUUGAUCCUAUAUUUAAAUUCUCUAUUUAUUUCAACUGUGCAUUUAUUUUCGAAUGUCACCGGGUGGUGUGAA